rnacentral:rRNA from 1 species
AUAACCUGGCGGGAUGCUUUACACAUGCAGUCGAACGGCAGCACGGAUUCGGUCUGGUGGCGAGUGGCGAACGGGUGAGUAAUGCAUCGGAACGUGCCCAAUCGUGGGGGAUAACGUAGCGAAAGUUACGCUAAUACCGCAUACGAUCUAAGGAUGAAAGCGGGGGAUCCGCAAGACCUCGCGCGAAUGGAGCGGCCGAUGUUAGAUUAGGUAGUUGGUGGGGUAAAGGCUCACCAAGCCGACGAUCUAUAGCUGGUCUGAGAGGAUGAUCAGCCACACUGGUGACUGAGACACGGCCCAGACUCCUACGGGAGGCAGCAGUGGGGAAUUUUGGACAAUGGGCGCAAGCCUGAUCCAGCCAUUCCGCGUGCAGGAUGAAGGCCCUCGGGUUGUAAACUGCUUUUGUACAGAACGAAAAGGUCUGGGUUAAUACCCUGGGGUCAUGACGGUACUGUAAGAAUAAGCACCGGCUAACUACGUGCCAGCAGCCGCGGUAAUACGUAGGUGCAAGCGUUAAU